rnacentral:misc_RNA from 1 species
ACGACGAACCUUAGAGUAAACGCACGCGUCCUUUAGAACCUGAAUACAACGCGUAUAUAAAAAUAGAUAUACUGCACUCACGUUCAACGAUUACAUAAAGUGGCACAUCAUCAUUUAUAACACAUCGACAACAUAUAAAAUUCAACAAAGGAAACAAGAAUUGAAACAAACUAAAAGUAAACAACAAUUAAAGGAACAUUUUUAAAGACGCAUCACAAAAUGUAAAGCAAUAAUCAGCACAAAAGCCAGCAAAAGCUUACAAUAGAAGUAGAAGAAGCAGCAUAGCUUGGCUUGGCUCUUGAAGCUUGCUGGGAGGAGAGUGCUGGGUAGGAGGAGAGGACUGGAUUGGGGCAGUAGCAGCAGCAGCAGCAGCAGUAGCAGCCGCAGCGAUGCCAAGUGCCAUUAUUGGAAACUGUCGUAGUCAUAAGAUUUGCAUACUAUAGCCAUAGUAUCAUCAUGAAAAGCACCAGCGUGAUAAGCACAACAGCAACAAAAACAGCAACAACAAUCAUAGGAGAAAUAGCAACAAAAUGGUUAACAAAGGGAACGGUGACAAUAUUAACGGUAAACGAAGCGAUCCGCAUGCAUGAAAAGUGAGAGUGAGGGAGUGAGACAUAUGUACAUAUGUAUAGUACUACAUACAUACAAUACAUUCCGAUAUCGAGUGAGAGCCGAGCUUUGAGAGAGGGAGAGAAAGAGAGAGACAUGCCGCUGCGCUGAGGAGAUAGGAUAUAUAUAUAUAUAUAUACAUAUAUAUAUAGCAUAGGACACAAAAUACAGGAGACAACAGCAUCGCAACAACCGCCAGAGCCACAGAACAAACAAAACGACGACAAUCAGUCAAGAUGAGUGAUGAUCAAGCCGGGGCCAAUGAUGAAAAAGCUGUUGCCAAACACCAGGUCGUUGCCUACACGCAGAGGUCGCAGGUCAAGCACGAGAACCGGCACAUCCAGCUGGUGCGGGAAUAUGGCUUCCACCCGCGCACCAAAGCCUCCGUGGAGGACGGCGAUGUGCUGCCGCGGAAGUUUGAGCCCUUUCCGGAGGAUAUGUACGGCAAGCCGCUCGAGGAGAUUGACACCUUCAUAUACGAGGAGACAUUCUGUGUGGUUUCGAAACGCUUUCGCAAGAAUUACAUCCAUCGUUUCACAGGCACCAAGAGCCUAUUCCUCUUCCAUCCAUGGAGUCCAGCGCGGCGCGUGUGCGUCUAUAUCGCAACGAACCAAUUUUUCGACUACUGCGUCAUGGCCACCAUUCUGUUCAACUGCAUUUUCCUAGCCAUGACCGAGACGGUCGAGGAGGCUGAGUACAUCUUUCUGGCGAUUUACUCCAUCGAAAUGGUGAUCAAAAUCAUUGCCAAAGGCUUUCUGCUCAACAAGUACACCUAUCUGCGCAACCCAUGGAAUUGGCUUGACUUUGUGGUCAUAACUAGUGGCUAUGCCACCAUUGGCAUGGAGGUUGGCAACCUGGCGGGGCUGCGUACUUUUCGCGUGCUGCGCGCUCUCAAGACGGUUUCCAUCAUGCCCGGACUUAAGACAAUUAUCAACGCGUUGCUUCACUCCUUCCGUCAACUGGCGGAGGUUAUGACGCUCACCAUCUUCUGUUUGAUGGUCUUUGCCCUCUUCGCCCUGCAGGUCUAUAUGGGCGAGCUGCGCAACAAGUGUGUGCGCCACGUGCCCUCCGAGUGGUCCAACGUCUCCCAUCUAGACUGGCAUAUGUGGGUCAACGACACGGACAACUGGCUAUUCGACGAUGAGGAGAUGCCCGUGCUUUGUGGAAACUUGACGGGCGCCCGUCACUGCCCAUUCGGCUAUAUGUGCAUCUGUGUCGGCGAGAAUCCCAAUCAUGAAAAUACCAACUUUGACAAUUUCAUGUGGUCAAUGCUAACGACCUUUCAGCUGAUUACAUUGGACUACUGGGAGAAUGUCUACAAUAUGGUGCUAGCAACUUGUGGUCCAAUGAGUGUCAUAUUUUUUACGGUGGUUGUGUUUUUUGGCUCAUUCUACUUGAUUAACCUGAUGCUAGCCGUUGUCGCGUUGAGUUACGAGGAGGAGGCGGAGAUAACAAACGAGGAGCGGAAAAAGGAUUUGCUGGACCAUCGGGAUGAUUCCACGUUCAGCUUUGAUCCAUCCGUGCUGAAUGUUAAGAAAUUGAACAAGAACAACAAGAAGAGGAUCGACUCCCGCAAGGGCGUCCUCCUGGCCUCGUACAGCAAGAAGAAGACGCGCCGAAAAAAGACCAAAGGCGGAAAAGAGACUAAUGGCAAUGGGAAUGGGAAUGGGAACGGCAGCAAUGGCCAUGAAAACGAUGCCAACAAAUCCCCUUCCGCCACACCCAGCCCGGGACCAAGUCCGCGACACAGUGCCACGGAGCGUCCCUCCGCCCUCACGCGUCAGGCUCAGAAGCAAUACAAGCAGAUAGAGCAGCAGCAGCAUCAUCAGCAUCUGCUGGCCAAGGUACCAGCCGCUGCUACGCCCAAGAACCGCAUUAGCUUCCAGGAGGAGCCGCAGAAGAACCCCAACAUGCUGUACCCCUCGGACAACAAGGGCCAGCUCAUCGCCAGCAGCCGUCAGACGAGCUCCAACUCAAGUGGCGUCAAUCGCGAAUCCUCGCAGGAUGAUUCUGGGGUGGUCGACGAUCACGAGGAGCAGGAUCCGGCCAACGAGCUGGGCCACGUGUCCACCGUGGAGUUGGCCCUAUCCCCGCGUGAAGUGCGCCUCAUCAAGUGCAAUGGGAACAUAGCCCGCAUCAAGAAUCAUAAUGUUUAUGCCCUGCAUCAGGAGUUCUCCUCGGAGGUGGUUGUUAUCGAUGAUCUGCCCGACCGCAACUGCGAUCGCUGUGUCCACUGCUGCGCCGACUACGAGAGCUGGCUGCAGUUCCAGAACUGCCUCUACAAGGUGGUGAGGGAUCCGCUCUUCGAGCUGGCUAUCACGCUGUGCAUUGUGCUAAACACAGCCUUUCUGGCUAUGGAGCACCACGGCAUGAGCGAGAGCUUUCGCAAUGCCCUGGAUGUGGGAAAUAAGGUUUUCACGUCCAUUUUCACCUUUGAGUGCAUUGUGAAGCUGAUGGCCUUGUCCAAGGACUUUUUUCUGUGCGGCUGGAAUAUAUUUGACCUGCUCAUUGUCACGGCCAGUUUGCUGGACAUCAUCUUCGAGCUGGUCGAUGGCCUUAGUGUCUUGAGGGGACUGCGACUGCUGCGUGUACUAAAGCUGGCCCAGUCGUGGACCACAAUGAAGGUGCUGCUGAGCAUUAUCAUAUCGACAAUUGGGGCGCUGGGUAACCUUACGCUGAUCUUGGUAAUAGUCAUCUACAUAUUUGCCGUCAUUGGCAUGCAAUUGUUCUCCAAAGACUACACGGCGGAAAAGUUUGACCCAGAUCCAGUGCCAAGAUGGAAUUUCAAUGACUUCUUUCACUCAUUCAUGAUGAUCUUCCGCAUAUUGUGCGGGGAAUGGAUCGAGCCGCUCUGGGACUGUAUGCGAGCCGAAGAAGAGCAAGGUGCCUCCACAUGCUUCGCCAUAUUUCUGCCAACUUUGGUCAUGGGAAACUUCAUGGUGCUCAACUUGUUCUUGGCCUUGUUGCUCAACAGCUUCAAUUCUGAGGAGCUCAAGUCAAAGAAAGAGAUAUUCAAGAAGAAGGAAGUGGGCGAGGAGUCUAAGCUGGCGAGGAGUAUCGAAAGGGUGCGGGAUCUGAUAAGGAAGAAGCGGCAAGAGCGUAAGGAUCGUAAAGAGCGAAAGUUUGCCGAGAAGUUCCAGCAGAUCGUGCUCGAGGCCCAGGCCCAGGCCCACGCUCAAAGUCAGGGUCAGGCACAGGGGGGAAUGGAGAUGGACAAGUCCAAUCUGUUGGCCGAGACUAAGUUCCAUAGAUUGAGCUACCAGGAAUCUAUGAAUCGGCCAGUCUCGGGUUCUGACUUUGGCUUCCAGAUCCCCUUGAGGGACGGCCUGCACACAAUUGUUGAUGGCCUCGAGUACGACGAGGCCUCGGAUGUGCCCGAGCAGAUCCAGCUACAGGAUCAGCCACUGCCACCAAUUACAGACUCGCUGCCGCCCACCUACGAGACCGCCAUCAUGUCUGCCCACAGCAACAACCUAACUCCGUUCGCCCUGGCGGAGCGACGGCUGCAACACCAGAUCUCCUCGGGGGUGAGCACCCAGCAGAACGACUCCAGGGACGAGGCCACCUACACGGAGUCGAUCGAGCUGCGUCUCCUGGGCCAGUACAACUCCACGGACACGGAUCCAUAUGCCAACGACCAGCGAAGUGGCUCUUUCAACCGCGGAGACUCUUUUCAGGAUAACUCCUCGCGGCGCUACGGCAGCGAAGAGCACGACGAGGCCUACCUUAAGUACCAGAAAUCGUUGCUAACCCGCUCACCCAGCUACAGGAAGUCUCUGGACCGACUCUCACAGUCCAGCGGUCACUCGCAGCGCUCGCUGCUUAAGUCGGAGGAGGCGGAGAUGCGAAGGCACUCUAGUGGCCACUCCCUGAACUCCAUAUCGAUCGAGCAGGAAGAGCUGCUCUCGCAGCAGGGGAAUCUGCGCGAGGAGCUGCUCAAUUGCGAGCAGAAGGAGCUCUUUCAGUUCCUCCAGGAGGAUAACGAGAUGCCGAAGUCCAAUCUCAGCUACAUUUCGUCGAACCUCAUGCGGUCGCGCCGAUCCUCCAGCCAGGGACAUCAGGAGAGCGAGGCGCUGGUGGAGCACUCGGAGUUCGAUAACAUCAUCCAGAGCUUCGAGAAGGAGUUGGAGGAGAUCAAACGCUCGACUACGUCGCUGGAGCGCAAGCUCUCCACCCUCUCAGAACCCUCGCCGGCAGCUGACGAGGCCACCAAAGCGAUCAUGGAGCACAUUGCCAUUAUCACGGGAGCCUCGGAGCGCACAGCCGCCGAUGAGGUAGUGCAUCCACUCAAUCCUUAUGACAGCUACGACCUAUCCAGCGUUCCGAGACGCUCCCAGUCCGUUAGUUCCGCCGCCCAGCGGCAGUCCGUGAAGAUAAAACGCCGCAGCCUGGAGAAGCAGCGCAAGAUCGACGAGGACUUUAGCAUAUCGAAUGAAAUACGCAAAAUCUGUGAUCAAAUCCAUGCGCCUUUCGUGGCCAUGGAGGCCAUGGCAGUGGCAGCCACCAGCCAAGGUCCAGGCGCCAGCCAGUCCCCCUUCACGCGCCGCAAGAUCGACCCAUUCACGGUUCAAUUCGAUCGCUUCAAGCGGUUGUCGCUGAUCGAGCGGCUGGAGGAGCUGCCGGAGGAGGAAAAGCCAAUCUCCACGCUACGCAUCGAAUCGGAGAAGAUGCCGCGCAAGUUUCUCAACAGCGACCAGCUGCGCCUGGACAGUCUCUCGCUCAAGAGUACCAACUCCUACGAGAACCUGCUCAUCCAGAAGCAGAAGCUUGUUCUGCCAUUGUCCACUGGUGUACCCGCCACGCCACCCACCUCCUUGAAGUCGAGCAUUGAGCCACCGACACUGGCGCAAAUUUCAUCGCUAAAGGUCACGCCCACGCCCACGCCCCCGCUGGCCGCCCUCACCGAGCACCAGCAGCACUUUCAUGCUACGAGCAUCCAAACGGCCCCCUCUCAUGGUCACGGCCAAAGGCACACCCAUGGGUCUGGCCAUCGGCACGGCAAUGGCCACUCACAAGCACACCCAACGGCAGGGCAGAGGCGACGCCCCAUGGAGCAUCCACAAUCGACUUUAGACAAAGCCGCUUCCUUCCAGUCCGCGCGCACCGAGUCGCACAGCUCGGGCGCCGCCGACACCAGCUCGGCCCUGGCCCUGGCUCUCGCCCACACCCACAAGACUGAGCAAUCCGAUCAGCCGGAAAAGGCGGCACAGAAGCCGUCGGCAUUCACUCGACUGACCGAAAAACCAUGGCAUUGUUUGGUUUCCUACGUAGACGACCUCACCGUCGGUGGGAGACGUAACUCGCAGGGCGCUUACAAUGAUCCCAUGACUUUUCCGAGCUAUGGGCAGGCGAAGCCGCCGAAGGUGCCAGAUGACUGCUUCCCCCAGAAGUGCUACGAUCACUUUUACUUCCGCUGCCCUUGGUUUAUGUCCUGCAUGGACACGCCGAGCGCCAAGCAGUGGACCCGCAUUAGGACGGCUGUCUUGACGGUUGUCGAUACUCCGGCCUUUGAGUGGUUUGUGCUAGUGCUGAUCUUUGCGUCGAGUAUCACGCUUUGCUUCGAGGACAUCUACCUGGACAGCAACAAGACGCUGAAGCGCGUACUCUACUGGACCAACUUCUCCUUCUGCCUGAUCUUCGUGGUGGAAAUGAUACUCAAGUGGCUGGCGCUGGGCUUCUCCAAGUACUUCACGAGUUUCUGGACCAUACUCGAUUUUAUCAUAGUGUUUGUAUCGGUUUUCUCGCUGCUAAUUGAAGAGAAUGAGAACCUCAAGGUUCUGCGGUCAUUACGCACCCUGCGUGCCCUGAGACCCCUGAGAGCGAUCUCUCGGUGGCAAGGAAUGCGGAUUGUAGUAAACGCUCUCAUGUAUGCAAUACCAUCAAUUUUCAAUGUACUUUUGGUUUGUUUGGUUUUUUGGUUGAUCUUCUCAAUAAUGGGUGUUCAGUUCUUUGGUGGGAAGUUUUUCAAGUGCGUCAAUGAAAUGGGAGAAUUGCUGCCAAUUACUGUGAGUACACUACACACACUCCCAAUAUGGAGCAGGAGAACGAUCUACCUGUCCUGUGUGACUGUACAAACCCACCCUACUCAUAUUUCCUUCUCCAUUUAUUGCGUGCAGGAGGUGAACGACAAGUGGGACUGCAUUGAGCAGAACUACACGUGGAUCAACUCGAAGAUCACCUUCGAUCAUGUGGGCAUGGGCUACCUGGCCCUGCUACAGGUCGCAACCUUCGAGGGCUGGAUGGAGGUGAUGGCGGAUGCCGUGGACGCCCGGGGCGUGGACCUGCAGCCGCAGCGGGAGGCCAAUCUCUAUGCGUAUAUUUAUUUUGUUAUAUUUAUUGUGUGCGGAUCGUUCUUCACACUCAAUCUGUUCAUUGGAGUUAUCAUUGAUAACUUCAAUAUGCUCAAGAAGAAGUAUGAAGGAGGAGUGUUGGAAAUGUUUCUCACCGAAUCUCAAAAACACUAUUACACGGCUAUGAAAAAAUUGGGACGAAAGAAACCACAGAAAGUUAUUAAGCGACCUAUAAAUCAUUUUUUAGCUAUGUUUUAUGAUUUAUCCAAUUCGAGAAGGUUCGAGAUUGCGAUCUUUGUACUGAUUUUUCUCAACAUGCUUACCAUGGGCAUCGAGCACUACGAUCAACCGCAUGCGGUCUUCUUUAUACUGGAAGUGAGCAAUGCCUUCUUCACCACGGUCUUUGGUCUGGAGGCCAUUGUCAAGAUUGUGGGACUACGCUAUCAUUACUUCACGGUCCCAUGGAACGUAUUCGACUUCCUCCUGGUGCUGGCCUCUAUCUUCGGCAUUCUAAUGGAGGACAUCAUGAUCGACCUGCCGAUCAGUCCGACACUACUGCGCGUAGUCCGAGUAUUUCGUAUAGGCCGCAUCCUGCGCCUGAUAAAGGCGGCCAAGGGCAUAAGGAAGCUGCUUUUUGCGCUGGUUGUGUCGCUGCCAGCUCUCUUCAACAUUGGUGCCUUGCUGGGACUGAUUACCUUCAUAUAUGCCAUACUGGGCAUGUCGCUCUUUGGGCACGUGAAGCUGCAGGGCGCCUUGGACGACAUGGUGAACUUCCAGACCUUCGGGCGGAGCAUGCAGCUGCUCUUUCGCCUGAUGACUUCAGCCGGAUGGAACGACGUUCUCGAGUCGCUGAUGAUCCAACCACCCGACUGCGAUCCCUUUUUCAACCGGCAGACUAAUGGCGACUGCGGCCACCCUUUGCUGGCCAUUACUUACUUUACGAGCUUCAUCAUUAUCAGCUACAUGAUUGUGAUCAACAUGUACAUUGCCAUCAUUCUGGAGAACUUCAACCAGGCGCACCAGGAAGAGGAGAUUGGGAUUGUCGAAGACGACUUGGAGAUGUUUUACAUACGCUGGUCCAAAUAUGAUCCACAUGCCACCCAGUUUAUACACUUCUCGCAACUGUCCGAUUUUAUUGCCUCUCUCGAUCCACCAUUGGGCAUCUCGAAGCCUAAUAAUGUCGCUCUAGUGUCAUUUAAUCUGCCCAUCUCUAAGGGUAAUAAAAUACACUGUCUCGAUAUUUUGCACGCGCUCGUGAAGCACGUGCUAGGUCAUGUCGAGGAGACCGAUAACUUCAAACAGUUGCAGGAACAAAUGGAUGUCAAGUUCAAGAAACAGUUUCCAACGCGCAAAGAAUUGGAAAUUGUUUCGUCGACGCGGAUCUGGAAGCGCCAGGAAAAGGCGGCCAAGACCAUACAGACCGGCUGGAAGGACUAUUUGCGGCGCAAGAAUGAAAAGGAGCGCUCCAAUUCCGGCGACAGUGCCACCCAAACCUCCAGCCCCGGCGGAUGGCAAUCGAAGCUCUCGGCUCUAAACUUUUUCCAUCUGCAGGUCAGUCGUCGGGGAACCGCCUGCUCCAGUCGUGCCUCAUCGCGGAAGUCCUCGCGUGCCUCUGAUGGCUCCGAUCUGAGUGAGCUGGCCGGGCCCUGGCUGAAUCUGCCGCUGAUGCUAGUCUCGGGGGCCGACGAUGUCGUCAAGGAUAUCAAGCAGCAAAGCGACGAUAUGGGCAAACGCGGUAGCAUAUUUGUGGAAGCGCCUAGAGCAAGUCGUCGCCGAAGCUUUUAUAAUUUCUUUUUGCGUCAUCAGGAUGCUGUCGAUGACAGCUUAACCUCACCUUCAGUACAUAGAAAAACUGCUAUAAAUCCCACGACCAACACUACCACCUCAGCCUCUGUCUCCGUCAGCGCCUCUGGUGCGGCCUCCGCCACCGCCACUGCGACAGCAGCAUCCGCCUCCGACAGCGACAGACAACAGGUGGUGGGGGGGCCGGUUAACUCACGUAAGCGCGCCUCUAGUUUCAUACGAAAGAAACCCCCCCUUGAAAGAGGUCUGUCAGCACAAAGCGCUUUAAGAGUUAACAAGAACGCUUUUGUCUCGGAGGGACCUGCCCCCGAGGUGAUCGUAACCCGGCCAUCGCCGGAUCAACAGACGCAUCCGCACAUGCAUGCCCUCGGCCUGCGGCCGGACAAUGCUACACUAGUCCAUGUGCUGGUGCACCGCGAGAGCGAAGAGUACAAGGAGGAAGACGAGGGUAGCCUCUCCUCAACGGGCAAUGGCAAUGGCAAUGGCAAUGGGCACGAUAAGCCCAAGCCGCCGCAGAUUCGCAUCAGCACGGGUUCGUCCGAGAGCCCCAUGGACACGUCCCUGAUGCCUACCGUGCAGAUAAUGGUGGACAGUCCCAAGGAGCCGCCACGCGGCGACUUCAGUACGGAAUUGGCUGCUACAUCCACAGCCGUAACGAUCGGUGUGGAGGUGGACCCAUCUCCCAUCGAUGUGAAUGUGCAGGGGGACACAUCGCAGGUGUUCUACGACUACAAUCCCGACAAAGCCACUGGCAACGAAAUUGUCGAGAUAGACACACUCGACGAGGAUGAGGAGCAGACAGCAGCUGAAAGGGGAAUUGAAGCUGAAGCACUUCCAGCCGAGGACCAACAGAGAUGACCUUCGGUCAACAGUCGGCAGCAGGAUUCCAGCAGCAGCAGCAGCAGUAGUAGCACCAGCAGCAGGAUCAGUGCCUGCUGCUCGUCAACAUCAACAUCCUCGGCUGUCGCUGGCCGGCGUCCAAGUUGACAACCUCCGACCUGAGCGCAAAUCCGAUGCCGAUUCCUGUGUGCAUUUGUCUCAGAACUCGUAGUUUCUUAGGCUUAGGCUUAGGCAUAGGCGGGGUCGGGGUACCCCUUUGUUAUCGUAGUCGAUUACAUAUAUAUACAUACAUAUAUAUAUAUAUAUAUAUAUAUAUAUACAUACAUACUAGUCGCUUUAUACGAUAUAUACACAUAUACAUAUACGGAACUAUCCAAAUUUAUAUACAAUAUCAAUCUACGCUGGCCAGGAGAUGGUGGAGGUGGAGAAGAAAUCAAUAUUAAACUCUGUGUUAACAAAAACGUGCAUUAAACAAACCGUACAUUGUGUACACGUAUCGCGAAUCAAAACAUAACAAAAAAAAAGAAAAGAUUCGGAAUAAGAAUCAGAAUCAUAGAAUAACUAUCACAAUCAGAAUACGAAUCGGUAUCGGAGAAAAGUGCAGAACAUAUGUCAAUAGCUUACCGGCCGUUCGGUUCCAUGUUGUAGUCAUAUCGAGGUAUUUCUUGGAUAUUUUCGAAGGUUGUUUUUGAACUAUACAAUACGAUACAAAGAGAUUGGCAUUGCAUGCAUGCUCGAGCAUUCAAUACACCCAUUUAUACAUACAUGCGUAUGUAACUAUGCAUAUGUGUAACUAUCGCGGUCAGAUCUAGGCUCAUGACAGUAGAUUUGAUUUUUUUCUCAAUUAUCGAUACAUAUGAAUAUAUUUUGUACAUAUGCCAAAAGAAGUAUUUUAAACUAAUGAGCUAAUACUAUACUUAUAGAUAUACUUUACAUAGCGUCUGCCGUACGGUACCAGGUCUUAGCAUACGUACAUACAUAUGUAUAACAUUAGUUAGUGCAAAUUUAAUAAAAUAUUUAUAAAGGUUUUUCGUUACGACUACGAUACCGCAUACAAUUACCGAUUACCAAUACGAUUACGAUAGCGCUAGCGCUAGCGAUACCGAUAAGCGAUUAUUAUUCAUUACCGAUUGUUCGAAGUACAAAAGCGAAGUAUUAGUAGUUUUGAUUAUCAUGUAUUGUACAUAUGAGUAUUUGGAUAUCCACACCCUCAACUUACCCGUACAUACAUAUGUCUCUCUAUCCAUCUCUCUUCUUCAGCAUCCUUCAGUAAUAACUUAAGUCGAAGAACAAUGUCAAGUGAAUCUAAUAUUAAACCCAAUCCAAUCGGGAAAUAAUAUACUAUCCAGAAGAUAGCACUAGAAUCGAAGUCAAAUCGUAAUCGAACUAAUCCAAACCAAACCAAACCAAACCAAAUCGAAAUCAAUCAGCAAUCAGCCAGAUGAACCGCAGUCCUACCUAACGAAUAACUUUUAUUGUUGUGAACUAAUGAUUAGUUAAUUUACUAUAUGAUUUAGAGUAGCUUAAAUCAAAACCAACUUGCAACAAUUGUGGUCUCCUAUGAAACAAAAGAACAAACCAGUAAGCUUCCACAAGAACUCUAUUUUAACAUAAUGAUUUACACUUUACAAACUAUG